UCCGCCACCACUAUUGUCACUAGUAACGCCACCUCUACCACCACUUCAACCAAUACCAUCACUACAACUUAUCUCUACUAACAACCAUCUCCACCAUUACAACAAAUAACAUAUCCAACUAGCACCAACACAUCGUCAAACAUCAUGCAUUCAUGUUUCAACCAACACAAUUAACACCUUAAACUACUAAUAUCAAGCAAUGUCACAUCACAACAAUAACCACCACCAUCUAUCGCCACCAUCAUAACAGUCACUACAAUACCAACCAUCACAAUUAUCACCACCAACAUUAUUAAUCACUAACACCAAUCAUUGUCACCGCAACCACCAUUACAAACCAUC
rnacentral:lncRNA from 1 species